ACAGAAUAGGAGACAUACAAUUCUCCCCCAAGGAGUUCAGUCACAAAUUUAAUCAAUGCAUUAUUUUUUUAAUGAGCAUCAUCAGCAUGGAAGCAUGUCCUCUGGAAUGGUGGCCGAAGCAUGAAGCGGCAUACAAAUGUUUGGCAUAUCUGGAUAGUAAAUACCUUGGAACACCGGAUACAAAAGAGCCAUCCAGGUGCCUGUUCUCACUUUG